rnacentral:rRNA from 1 species
UACGGGGGGAGCAAGCGUUGUUCGGAAUUACUGGGCGUAAAGGGCGCGUAGGCGGCCUGCUAAGUCGAACGUGAAAUCCCCGGGCUCAACCCGGGAACUGCGUCCGAUACUGGCAGGCUUGAAUCCGGGAGAGGGAUGUGGAAUUCCAGGUGUAGCGGUGAAAUGCGUAGAUAUCUGGAGGAACACCGGUGGCGAAGGCGGCAUCCUGGACCGGUAUUGACGCUGAUGCGCGAAAGCCAGGGGAGCAAACGGG